GGCGUAUUCUUGAUCCAUUUAGAAGUUCAUUAACUCCUAAAUAUGUGCAAUCUCUUAUUUGUUCUCAAGAUUGGCUUAGAGAAGAGACUAAACCCGUUAGUGUGGAAGAAAGUUUGGAGUAUCUUGAGAAACUUGAACUUGAGAUGGCAAAUAGUGGAAGAGAUCCUUGCAUUGUUGAUGUUUGAUUGCAAAUUGCUAUUUUUUGCUACUAGUGUUCAACCAUGCCUCCUAAAGCUCGUUCACAUGUUUGGGAAUACUUUGCGAUAGUUCAAGACAAUGAAGAAGGGCGUAAAGUAAGGUGCUUGACA